rnacentral:rRNA from 1 species
AUUGAACGCUGGCGGCAUGCCUUACACAUGCAAGUCGAACGGUAACAGGUUAAGCUGACGAGUGGCGAACGGGUGAGUAAUGUAUCGGAACGUGCCCAGUCGUGGGGGAUAACUACUCGAAAGAGUGGCUAAUACCGCAUACGACCUGAGGGUGAAAGCGGGGGACCGUAAGGCCUCGCGCGAUUGGAGCGGCCGAUAUCAGAUUAGCUAGUUGGUGGGGUAAAAGCCCACCAAGGCGACGAUCUGUAGCUGGCCAGAGAGGACGACCUGCCACACUGGGACUGAGACACGGCCCAGACUCCUACGGGAGGCAGCAGUGGGGAAUUUUGGACAAUGGGCGCAAGCCUGAUCCAGCAAUGCCGCGUGCAGGAAGAAGGCCUUCGGGUUGUAAACUGCUUUUGUCAGGGAAGAAAUCCCUUGGGAUAAUACCUCGGGGGGAUGACGGUACCUGAAGAAUAAGCACCGGCUAACUACGUGCCAGCAGCCGCCGUAACAC